ensembl:lncRNA
GAGCGGCUGAGGCAGGAGCUGCUGCAGGUGUCACUCAGAGCCUCUUCUGAGAAGGCAGCACCCGUGCCCAUAAAGACUGCAGAGAGGCAAAGGCUUAAAAUACCAGAGCCGCUGAGGAAGGAACUGCUCCAGCAGAAGCCCCAAGCCUCUCCUGCAGAUGAUAAACCUGUGUCUUCCAAGUCCCCACAGGAAGCACCUUUACCUGACAGGAACCCUGUGCAUACCGGGACCUCACAGGGAGCAGGAGUGCUUGCCAGUUCUCCACUGCCCACUGGGUGUCUGAAGGAAGCAGCAGUGCCCACCAGAACCACGAAGGCAGGAAAACGGAGGCUUUCUGACCAUCUGGGCAUGCCUGUCUCUUCCACCCAGGGAUUACAUAUGCCCUCCAGGACCUCAAAAGUGGCGCCUGUGUAUUCUGGGACCUUACAGGGAGCACUUGUGACCAGAAGCUCCCCACGACAGGGAGCAAACCCUAGAAUCACAGAGCAGCAGAAGCAGAAGCGGAGGGAGCAGUGGAGACAGCAGCAGAGACAGCGGAGGCAGCAGAAGGCAUCAGACAAUAUAGAUGUGUGUGAGCCUCCGCAAAAAAUACUCUGUGUGGAAAUCGACAAGGUGCCACUGAAGCCUAAACUGGGGAGGCAGAACCAUCAAGCCCCACAGCCCAUGUCCCAGCUCACCCUGAAGAUGGUUAGUCCCUUCUAUCCCACAGUUUUACUUAGACUUACAGUAUUUAAAAACAUAAGCACUAAAGCUUCUAUUUUCCAAAUCCCUAUUUAAAACUGUAUGUAUUAUAUUACAAUAUGUAAGUUAGUCUGGAAUGAGUAUCAUAUCCUUUUCAAUUCAUAAUCCUCCCUGAUUCUGAAAUGGUAGAAGCAAUAUAUCUUUAGAUAUCCUCAAAGAAUCACUCAUUAAAUCUGCUUAUUGUUACAUCAUUAUGUCUGUGCCUUCAACAGGACAAUGUAAGUGUGAGCUGGUCACCUCCAGAAAAAAGGGAGCGCAUGGCGAGCAAAAUCAGAGACCAACAACUGGGGCCAGGCAGCUUAAAGCAUUUAUGUAGUAUAUUCAUAUGUUUAAUGGAAUAUUUUUAAAUAUUUAGUAUUCAUGUGUAUUGUGUUUGAAUUUAUUUAAUAUGAUUGUACGUAUAAUAAAAAAUAAAAUCUAAAUUUUGCA